UAAAUAUAGAAUCAGAAACUGUAGGUCGAUCCCGGAAAACCUGCAUCAAUCAUUAUUACAAUCGCAAUUGCUG